rnacentral:rRNA from 1 species
AUUGAACGCUGGCGGCAGGCCUAACACAUGCAAGUCGAACGGUAACAGGAAGCAGCUUGCUGCUUUGCUGACGAGUGGCGGCCGGGUGAGUAAUGUCUGGGAAACUGCCCGAUGGAGGGGGAUAACUACUGGAAACGGUAGCUAAUACCGCAUAACGUCGCAAGACCAAAGAGGGGGACCUUAGGGCCUCUUGCCAUCGGAUGUGCCCAGAUGGGAUUAGCUAGUAGGUGGGGUAACGGCUCACCUAGGCGACGAUCCCUAGCUGGUCUGAGAGGAUGACCAGCCACACUGGAACUGAGACACGGUCCAGACUCCUACGGGAGGCAGCAGUGGGGAAUAUUGCACAAUGGGCGCAAGCCUGAUGCAGCCAUGCCGCGUGUAUGAAGAAGGCCUUCGGGUUGUAAAGUACUUUCAGCGGGGAGGAAGGGAGUAAAGUUAAUACCUUUGCUCAUUGACGUUACCCGCAGAAGAAGCACCGGCUAACUCCGU